rnacentral:rRNA from 1 species
UGGUGACUAUUGCACAGAGGUCACACCCGUUCCCAUCCCGAACACGGUAGUUAAGCUCUGCUGCGCCGAUGAUACUGGGUUUACCUGGGAAAGUAGGAGAUUGCCA